GACGAACGCUGGCGGCGUGCUUAACACAUGCAAGUCGAACGGAAAGGCCCUGCUUGCAGGGUACUCUAGUGGCGAACGGGUGAGUAACACGUGGGUGAUCUGCCCUUCACUUCGGGAUAAGCCUGGGAAACUGGGUCUAAUACCGGAUAGGAGCCAUUUUUAGUGUGAUGGUUGGAAAGUUUUUUCGGUGUAGGGUGAGCUCGCGGCCUAUCAGCUUGUUGGUGGGGUAAUGGCCUACCAAGGCGGCGACGGGUAGCCGGCCUGAGAGGGUGGACGGCCACAUUGGGACUGAGAUACGGCCCAGACUCCUACGGGGGGCAGCAGUGGGGAAUAUUGCACAAUGGGCGGAAGCCUGAUGCAGCGACGCCGCGUGGGGGAUGACGGCCUUCGGGUUGUAAGCUCCUUUCGCUAGGGACGAAGCUUUUUGUGACGGUACCUAGAUAAGAAGCACCGGCUAACUACGUG
rnacentral:rRNA from 1 species